GGGACUGGUCUACUCCUCCUUCAACAGCAGAGGCUUCUUCUUCCUCAAAAACUUAAUCAACCCAUCGAUGAAACUCCACUAAGCUCUAUCACCAUGAACACCAAGCCAAACCUAGUUGAAAUAACUCCCAAAAGUACUUCACUUUCAGCUGAAAACAAGCUAGAAGGCAGCUUCAUUUUUUAGUCAAACACGACCUCAAAAUGCUGUCAAAACCCAGCUCGUGAAACCACCACAAAACCAGCCCCAAAACGACCCUUUAACACUCCAAAAACGCUGCCAGAAAAUCAGUUGAAAUACCUCGUCAAAACAGCCAUAAAACCCGUCCAAUACAACCCCAAAACAGCUUCAAAAUAGCCUUUACUCACUUCAAAAAUCGAGUUUCGGCGAGGUCAGUUGAGUUUGUCAAACUCCGUUCGGUGGUCCGGUCUGCUUUCAAGUUUAGAUUAGUGGCUCUGCUAGCGUUCGCGUUUUAAAGAAUCUGUCGCAACAGAUGUGAAAGACAGCAGCCAAUUGCAAGAUGCUUUGGUUUGAGUCCUUGUCCAAUUCGGAAUUACAUAAAUGGUUCAGGAUUAAUUCGAAAUCAAUAAGCUCCUUGAUUAAUGUA